UACGAAGGGGGCUAGCGUUGCUCGGAAUCACUGGGCGUAAAGGGCGCGUAGGCGGACUUUUAAGUCGGAGGUGAAAGCCCAGGGCUCAACCCUGGAAUUGCCUUCGAUACUGGGAGUCUUGAGUUCGGAAGAGGUUGGUGGAACUGCGAGUGUAGAGGUGAAAUUCGUAGAUAUUCGCAAGAACACCGGUGGCGAAGGCGGCCAACUGUCCGAAACUGACGCUGAGGCGCGAAAGCGUGGGGAGCAAACA
rnacentral:rRNA from 1 species